UCUGGAGACAGGUGCUGCAUGGCUGUCGUCAGCUCGUGUCGUGAGAUGUUGGGUUAAGUCCCGCAACGAGCGCAACCCUUGCCUUUAGUUGCCAGCAGUUCGGCUGGGCACUCUAAAGGGACUGCCGGUGUUAAACCGGAGGAAGGUGGGGGAUGACGUCAAGUCCUCAUGGCCUUUAUGACCAGGGCUACACACGUACUACAAUGGCCGAUACAAAGGGCAGCGACACUGCGAGGUGAAGCCAAUCCCGUAAAAUCGGUCUCAGUCCGGAUUGGAGUCUGCAACUCGACUCCAUGAAGUUGGAAUCGCUAGUAAUCGUGGAUCAGCAUGCCACGGUGAAUACGUUCCCGGGCCUU
rnacentral:rRNA from 1 species